GCUCAGGACUGACACAACUCGGUCGAAAGACGGGCUAAUAUCAGAUAAUGCAGCGGCUCCGCAUGGGGACAGUUGUAAAGUACAAGCGCCUGAAGAUGAGCCUGCGGUCCAUUAGCUAGUUGGUAGAGUAACAGCCUACCAAGGCAACGAUGGAUAGCUGGUCUGAGAGGAUGAUCAGCCACACUGGAACUGAGACACGGUCCAGACUCCUACGGGAGGCAGCAGUAAGGAAUAUUGCUCAAUGGCCGAAAGGCUGAAGCAGCAACGCCGCGUGAAGGAUGAAUGGCCUUUGGCCUGUAAACUUCUGUAAAAAGGGAAAAACAGUCAGGUAUAUCCUGAUUUGAUUGUACCUUUGAAGUAAGCCCCGGCUAACUACGUG
rnacentral:rRNA from 1 species